CCUACGGGUGGCAGCAGUGGGGAAUAUUGCUCAAUGGGGGAAACCCUGUCGCAGCAACGCCGCGUGGAGGAUGAAGGUUUUCGGAUUGUAAACUCCUUUUGUUAGAGAAGAUAAUGACGGUCUCUAACAAAUAAGCACCGGCUAACUCCGUGCCAGCAGCCGCGGUAAUACGGAGGUUGCAAGCGUUACUCGUAAUCACUGGGCGUAAAGAGCGCGUAGGCGGGUUAGCAAGUCAGAUGUGAAAUCCUAUGGCUUAACCAUAGAACUGCAUUUGAAACUGUUAUUCUAGAGUAUGGGAGAGGUAGGCGGAAUUCUUGGUGUAGGGGUAAAAUGCGUAGAGAUCA
rnacentral:rRNA from 1 species